rnacentral:rRNA from 1 species
UGGGGAAUAUUGCACAAUGGGGGAAACCCUGAUGCAGCGACGCCGCGUGGAGGAAGAAGGUCUUCGGAUUGUAAACUCCUGUUGUUGAGGAAGAUAAUGACGGUACUCAACAAGGAAGUGACGGCUAACUACGUGCCAGCAGCCGCGGUAAAACGUAGGUCACAAGCGUUGUCCGGAAUUACUGGGUGUAAAGGGAGCGCAGGCGGGCGAUCAAGUUGGAAGUGAAAUCCAUGGGCUCAACCCAUGAACUGCUUUCAAAACUGGUCGUCUUGAGUAGUGCAGAGGUAGGCGGAAUUCCCGGUGUAGCGGUGGAAUGCGUAGAUAUCGGGAGGAACACCAGUGGCGAAGGCGGCCUACUGGGCACCAACUGACGCUGAGGCUCGAAAGUGUGGGUAGCAAACAGGAUUAGAUACCCUGGUAGUCCACACCGUAAACGAUGAUUACUAGGUGUUGGGAGAUUGACCCUCUCAGUGCCGCAGUUAACACAAUAAGUAAUCCACCUGGGGAGUACGACCGCAAGGUUGAAACUCAAAGGAAUUGACGGGGGCCCGCACAAGCAGUGGAGUAUGUGGUUUAAUUCGACGCAACGCGAAGAACCUUACCAAGUCUUGACAUCCUCUGACGAACGUAGAAAUACGUUUUCUCUUCGGAGCAGAGAGACAGGUGGUGCAUGGUUGUCGUCAGCUCGUGUCGUGAGAUGUUGGGUUAAGUCCCGCAACGAGCGCAACCCUUAUGGUCAGUUACUACGCAAGAGGACUCUGGCCAGACUGCCGUUGACAAAACGGAGGAAGGUGGGGAUGACGUCAAAUCAUCAUGCCCUUUAUGACUUGGGCUACACACGUACUACAAUGGCGUUAAACAAAGAGAAGCAAGACCGCGAGGUGGAGCAAAACUCAGAAACAACGUCCCAGUUCGGACUGCAGGCUGCAACUCGCCUGCACGAAGUCGGAAUUGCUAGUAAUCGUGGACCAGCAUGCCACGGUGAAUACGUUCCC